rnacentral:rRNA from 1 species
AAUAUUGCACAAUGGGGGAAACCCUGAUGCAGCGACGCCGCGUGAGUGAAUAAGUAUNNNGGUAUNUAAAGCUCUAUCAGCAGNGAANAAAAUGACGGUACCUGACUAAGAAGCCCCGGCUAACCACGCGCCAGCAGCCGCGGUAAUACGUAGGGGGCAAGCCUUAUCCGGAUUUACUGGGUAUAAAGGGUGCGUAGGUGGUUUGGUAAGUCAGAUGUGAAAGCCCGGGGCUCAACCCCGGGACUGCAAUUGAAACUAUCAGACUAGAGUGCAGGAGAGGUAAGUGGAAUUCCUAGUGUAGCGGUGAAAUGCGUAAAUAUUAGGAGGAACACCAGUGGCGAAGGCGGCUUACUGGACUGUAACUGACACUGAGGCUCGAAAGCGUGGGGAGCAAACA